rnacentral:rRNA from 1 species
GAUGAACGCUGGCGGCGUGCUUAACACAUGCAAGUCGAACGAAGCAUUUAAACGGAAGUUUUCGGAUGGAAGAUUAAAUGACUGAGUGGCGGACGGGUGAGUAACGCGUGGGUAACCUACCUCAUACAGGGGGAUAACAGUCAGAAAUGACUGCUAAUACCGCAUAAGCGCACAGGACCGCAUGGUCUGGUGUGAAAAACUCCGGUGGUAUGAGAUGGACCCGCGUCUGAUUAGCUAGUUGGUAAGGUAAAGGCUUACCAAGGCGACGAUCAGUAGCCGACCUGAGAGGGUGACCGGCCACAUUGGGACUGAGACACGGCCCAAACUCCUACGGGAGGCAGCAGUGGGGAAUAUUGCACAAUGGGGGAAACCCUGAUGCAGCGACGCCGCGUGAAGGAAGAAGUAUUUCGGUAUGUAAACUUCUAUCAGCAGGGAAGAAAAUGACGGUACCUGACUAAGAAGCCCCGGCUAAUUACGUGCCAGCAGCCGCCGUAAUAC